AAGGUUACAAUACACUAAAUACUUUUGGUGUUCAAUGCUAUACCCUCUAAAAACAAAAUCUUCAUUUAUUUGAAGACACAAUUCUCUGUACGGGCACUUGCCAUGACUUUAUUUUUGAAUAUUUCUGUGUUCAUGUGGUAGGGAAAACAUUGUUGUAUACUACAAAUUCCCUGUUUUGCUUUUAGGUUGGAGACUACAUAAGACUUUGACAGUUGGCGGGAAACCAUCAUCAACUGGAGAGAUGCCGGAAGAGGAAUGUCUGCGACUAAGUCAAGGGCCACUGGAUACGGGUUGUUGAUGGCAAAACAGGUUGGAGACUACAUAAGACUUUGACAGUUGGCGGGAAACCAUCAUCAACUGGAGAGAUGCCGGAAGAGGAAUGUCUGCGACUAAGUCAAGGGCCACUGGAUACGGGUUGUUGAUGGCAAAACAGGUUGGAGACUACAUAAGACUUUGGACAGUUGGCGGGAAACCAUCAUCACUGGAGAGAUGCCGGUAAAAGA